rnacentral:lncRNA from 1 species
AAGAAACUGAACAUCAUCUGUAGGUAUCUUUCAAUUAAUUCUGUGCGCAAAUCCGCCAGAGGAAGGAAUUAAACAGUGGGUGAACUUGGUUUGAUUUUUCACAUCAUGGCAGACAGCAGUGGGGAGGAAAGGACGUUCUCUUUCCUUUGUUCUUCCAGUGGGUAGCUGACACUAUCCUGUGUUGUGCCUCUGUCUGGGAAGCUGGGGAGCAGAGCUUUCUUCAUUUUCUGCCUGCUUCUGCACACUACGUGGAGGAAGGGCACACAGCUAAUGUGCCCUUGCAGUGUAGAUAUGAAGAGCUAAGGAAACAUUUCACAGACAAAUACAGUUGCACAAGCAGAAAUGAAUCAAAUGAAAAUGACAUCCAGGUCAACGAGGCAGCGCAGCCCUCAGCAGUUUAACCACGUGAUGGUCCCAAGACCCACAGUGAUGCUGCCAGCACAGCCGCCCACAGAGCCUGCCAAGCAUCCAGAUGCUGCUGGAAGAUGAGGACCUUCCACAGUUGCCAUUUAACUCUUGAGAGGGAGGUAAUGGUGUUCAGAUUUUUUUUUAAUGACUGAAUUACAUCUUGCUUUAAUAGAUGAAUUAAAAUUCCCAUAUGCUCCUACAAGUGUUUGAGUAGACAUGUGGUGAAGUGCAUCCUAUUCUAAUAAGAACCUUGUUUUUUCUAAUAGAAAAUUAAUACUAAC